rnacentral:lncRNA from 1 species
AUGAAGACUCUCUCCUCUUUUUCGCAGAAAGUACUAACCUUCCUGACGAUCACGUCUUUUCUAGGAGAAAUAACAGGCGAAACUUUCUUUCAUCGACAAGAACAUGGAAAUCCUGCACUUCAGUGCCAUCAGCAAGCUGCUAAAGGAAAAGCAGAAAUAGCUUGGUAUAUAGCAGAUGACGAUCUGCAGCAAUUUAAGUUCAUUAACUGCUCUUCCAAGGAGCCUCGUUCCUCAUGUGGAGAAAGAGGGGGACCUUCAGGCUGCAAUGACACCUUACAAGUGACCCACAUACCCCCUGGGGGAGGGCUGUUUGCAUGUGGAGCAGUUCCUAGUGACAGAACACCAGCAACUUGCCCGCUGUUUCGCAAUGUCUCUCACUGCAGGCACUACAAUUUCUUUCUUACACAGAAAAUUUACCCCACACAAGAUAUACAGUGGUAUAUCGCCUCUGGAGCUAUAGCUGGGAUUAUUUUUCUCUGUGUCGUAUCAUGGCUAACCUAUCUCAAGACAGCUAAAUCAAAAGGAAAAAAAUCACCCACAGAAUUUAACAGAUAUUAUGAUGUUGUUGGAAUGCCAGAAGAUGAAUGUUCUCCAUAUGCAACAAGUUGUGUCAGUGACAUGCAAAGAAGUGAGUACAUUUAUUGCCAUGUAGCGGGGACUUACGCAAAAGUCUCUGCCACAGAUAACAACAAGGCUUCUGGGACAGGACUGGAAGACAUACAUACAGUAUAUGCAUAUGCUGGUAAAUAAAUAAGUUUCAGCUACAUCAAGAUUGGAAUUUGGAAGUUUUUUUUUUUUUUUUUUUUUUUUGCAAAACACAUGGCAGACUGAAUAACAUCCUGGCUAGAUGUGUACUAGCUUUAUCACUAGAAUGUAUACAAUACAUUUCCGAUACGUGAAUCACCAAAUAAAAUGUG